GAUUUCAAUUGAAAAAGUCAUCAACAACAAAGUUGAAUAACUCAUCAAGAUCUAAAACUUUUACUUGUAUUAUUUCUUCAUCCGACGAAAUGUUAGUAAUAUUAUUCACAAAUUUUACAAAUAUGUGUUAUAGUUUAUAAACCAGAUAAGAGAUAUGUCAAUUUUGUGAACAAUGUUACUAUCACUUUGUCGUAUGAAGAAAUGACCAAAAUAAAAGUUUUAGAUCUUGAUGAGUUAUUCAACUUUGUUGUUGAUGACUUUUUCAGUUGAUAUC
rnacentral:pre_miRNA from 1 species